rnacentral:rRNA from 1 species
GACGCUGGCGGCUGCUUACACAUGCAGUCGAACGGCAGCACGGGUGCUUGCACCUGGUGGCGAGUGGCGAACGGGUGAGUAAUACAUCGGAACAUGUCCUGUAGUGGGGGAUAGCCCGGCGAAAGCCGGAUUAAUACCGCAUACGAUCUACGGAUGAAAGCGGGGGACCUUCGGGCCUCGCGCUAUAGGGUUGGCCGAUUGGCUGAUUAGCUAGUUGGUGGGGUAAAGGCCUACCAAGGCGACGAUCAGUAGCUGGUCUGAGAGGACGACCAGCCACACUGGGACUGAGACACGGCCCAGACUCCUACGGGAGGCAGCAGUGGGGAAUUUUGGACAAUGGGCGAAAGCCUGAUCCAGCAAUGCCGCGUGUGUGAAGAAGGCCUUCGGGUUGUAAAGCACUUUUGUCCGGAAAGAAAUCCUUGGNUCUAAUACAGUCGGGGGAUGACGGUACCGGAAGAAUAAGCACCGGCUAACUACGUGCCAGCAGCCGCGGUAAUACGUAGGGUGCGAGCGUUAAUCGGAAUUACUGGGCGUAAAGCGUGCGCAGGCGGUUUGCUAAGACCGAUGUGAAAUCCCCGGGCUCAACCUGGGAACUGCAUUGGUGACUGGCAGGCUAAGUAUGGCAGAGGGGGGUAGAAUUCCCACGUGUAGCAGUGAAAUGCGUAGAGAUGUUGGGCAGGAAUACCGAUGGGCGAAAGGCAGCCCCCCUGGGCCAAAUAAUUGAACGCUCAAUGCACGAAAAGCGUUGGGGGAGCCCAACCAGGGAUUUAGAUUCCCCUNGGUAGUCCACGCCCCUAAACGAUUGUCCACCUAAGUUUGUNUGGGGGGGAUUCCUUUCCUUAGGUAACGUAGCUACGCGUUNAAGUUACCGCCUGGGGAGUUNGGCGCGAGAUUUACUCCAGGAUUGCGGGGACCNCCACGGGGUAGUGUUNUAUUCGUAGCGCGAACACUACACCUUNAGUGGCCGUAGGGGGUGCCAAAAACGCCAGUCUGUUGUUGUCACUUUAGUGUAUCAAGCNUCUUCACCACGCGAGACGGG